AGGGAAAGAGGGAGGGAGGAAGAACACAGGCAAGUCGAACGGAAGCACAGUAAGAGCUUGCUCUUAAGGGUGGCGAGUGGCGGACGGGUGAGGAAUACAUCGGAAUCUACUUUUUCGUGGGGGAUAACGUAGGGAAACUUACGCUAAUACCGCAUACGACCUACGGGUGAAAGCAGGGGAUCUUCGGACCUUGCGCGAUUGAAUGAGCCGAUGUCGGAUUAGCUAGUUGGCGGGGUAAAGGCCCACCAAGGCGACGAGCCGUAGCUGGUCUGAGAGGAUGAUCAGCCACACUGGAACUGAGACACGGUCCAGACUCCUACGGGAGGCAGCAGUGGGGAAUAUUGGACAAUGGGCGCAAGCCUGAUCCAGCCAUACCGCGUGGGGGAAGAAGGCCUUAGGGUUGUAAAGCCCUGUUGUUAUGAAAGAAAAGCAGCAGGUUAAUACCCCGCUGUUCUGACGGUACCCAAAGAAUAAGCACCGGCUAACUUCGUG
rnacentral:rRNA from 1 species